rnacentral:rRNA from 1 species
CCUACGGGGUGCAGCAGUGGGGAAUAUUGCACAAUGGGGGGAACCCUGAUGCAGCGACGCCGCGUGGGUGAAGGAGCACCUCGGUGCGUAAAGCCCUAUCGGCAGGGAAGAAAGGCGGGCGGGGCCCGUCUGGACGGUACCUGACUAAGAAGCCCCGGCUAACUACGUGCCAGCAGCCGCGGUAAUACGUAGGGGGCAAGCGUUAUCCGGAUUCACUGGGUGUAAAGGGAGCGUAGACGGCGGCGGAAGUCUGGAGUGAAAGCCCGGGGCCCAACCCCGGGACUGCUCUGGAAACUGUGAGGCUGGAGUACGUGAGGGGCAGGCGGAAUUCGUGGUGUAGCGGUGAAAUGCGUAGAUAUCAGGAGGAACACCGGCGGCGAAGGCGGCCUGCUGGACCGUGACUGACGUUGAGGCUCGAGAGCGUGGGGAGCAAACAGGAUUAGAUACCCCUGUAGUC